CCUACGGGCGGCAGCAGUGGGGAAUAUUGGACAAUGGGCGAAAGCCUGAUCCAGCCAUGCCGCGUGUGUGAAGAAGGCCUUCGGGUUGUAAAGCACUUUCAGUGGGGAAGAAAGCCUUGGGGCUAAUACCCUCGAGGAAGGACAUCACCCACAGAAGAAGCACCGGCUAACUCCGUGCCAGCAGCCGCGGUAAUACGGAGGGUGCGAGCGUUAAUCGGAAUUACUGGGCGUAAAGCGCGCGUAGGCGGUCUGAUAAGCCGGUUGUGAAAGCCCCGGGCUCAACCUGGGAACGGCAUCCGGAACUGUCAGGCUAGAGUACAGGAGAGGAAGGUAGAAUUCCCGGUGUAGCGGUGAAAUGCGUAGAGAUCGGGAGGAAUACCAGUGGCGAAGGCGGCCUUCUGGACUGACACUGACGCUGAGGUGCGAAAGCGUGGGUAGCAAACAGGAUUAGAUACCCCAGUAGUC
rnacentral:rRNA from 1 species